rnacentral:lncRNA from 1 species
AGGGCUGGGCAGUGAGCUUCUUCAGAGCUGAGGUUCUUCUCUGCCACCCCCUCCUGUCUUGCAGACUCCCUUAAGACAAUUGUUAUUCUCCACCCUGCCCCUCCUCCACCCGGGGUCAGGCCUGCCUGCGGACAAAGUAGACACCCGCCUACACCACGCGAUUCUGAGAAACGGAUUUACAUUACGAGUCGCCUGGGACCAGCCACAGAACCAGCUUCUCUACAAGCCUCCACAUACCCACGGAUCUUUCCUCCGUAUCCCACAUACUGCAUAACUGACCAUCAUCUAAGUUCUCACCACCAUCCGUUGAGCUACACAUUGUCCCUGUCCUGGUCAGCAAGGGCUGGAGGUAGAAGGGAAGACUCGUACUUUGUCCCUAACGCCCCAACUCCAUUGCAUUAUAAUCAAUUAAGAGUAUAGAUUAUUCAAUCUCUAGGGUAGCCUUGAAGUUGGAAGGGGUGGAAUGGAGCCUCCUGUUAACCCUGUAGCAGCUGACCUGGCUAAGGGAGCUCAGGCCCUGCCAUCUCCCCUGUUACACUAGGUCACUGAGCAAAGGAGCAACUGUCCCCAGGGAUUUUCAUCUCUGGACUGGAGGAAAGAGGUGGCUGAAAUGUCCCAGACUCAAGGGCUCAGCCAAGAGUUGAGGCUGCCAUCUGCCAACUCCAUAAUGAAGUUGGGUCCCAAGCAGCGCUGGGGCAGAGGCUGGGGCAGGAAGGUGGCUGGGCCGGUGAAAGUAGCCCAGGGGACUUGCAUACAAGGACCUAGGGGGGCCCAUCAAUGGAGAUGAGUCCUCAUCUGUGCCCCUGGCUUCUCUACCGAGCCACAGUGAGUGAGGGGCUGAGAUUUCAGCCCUAGCCCAGCAGACAUGGCUGUCCCCUGUAGCCAGCUCCACCUAGUCCCCAAGGCCUGCCCUCUGUCCUCA